rnacentral:rRNA from 1 species
GACGAAGGUGGCUAGCGUUGUUCGGUGUCACUGGGCUUAAAGCGUGUGUAGGCGGAAUGGUAAGCGUCUUGUGAAAUCCCUCGGCUUAACCGAGGAAUUGCUUGGCGAACUGCCUUUCUUGAGGCAGGUAGGGGUCAGUGGAACUGUUGGUGGAGCGGUGGAAUGCGUAGAUAUCAACAGGAACGCCGGUGGAGAAAUCGGCUGACUGGGCCUGUCCUGACGCUGAGACACGAAAGCGUGGGGAGCGAACGGGAUUAGAUACCCCCGUA